AAAAAAAAACCUCAACCUUUAGGGGCAUUUAGAUAUAUGCUCCUAACCUUUUUAUUUUCUAAAAUCGACCAUUCACAUAACGGAUUUUUCAAACAUCAACCCAGUUGAAACGGUAACCGCCAGCUGACCGUUAGUCAACAGCUAGUCAAAAAAAUUAUCUAUAUGGCGUUCCAGUUGAUUGAUGACGUGGCAAAAAAAUUAAACAAAUCGACAACAUCGUUACGAUCAGCAUGCUAUGGGGUGGUUCGUUGAACGGAGAAGAAGCAAAGCUUGGGCUUGAAAUUAAGGAUCGGUUAGAGGAAUUUAUGACAUUUUCCCGAUGCUUAGGCCAUUCAAUUUACAAGGAAUUGAAUCCAAAACCAAGAAGCAUUUGUCGUGGUUUUAUGGGUUUCUCGAAUCAGUGAUAAAGCAGCGAAUGAAGCUCGGAGAGGGACCAAAAAUGGCGGACAGUAAGGAUUUUCUGCAGCAAUUGUUGGAGCUGAACCAAAUAUGAGAUGCCAAAACUUCAUUAUCCACGGCAGACAAAAAGACCUUUCUGUGUGGGUUCAUCCUUCUAUUGUUGCUUAACCGGUUCUAAAUUUGCAUGAGGAUAUGGUAUUGUACAUGUUUGACUUUAUGCAUAUUUCUUCAGCCACGACUCUUGAUGGCAAUGGCCAGGGAUGGAUUAUUACCUGCAUUCUUUUCUGACAUCAGUACACGCACCCAAGUUCAAGCAAAGCGCACAGUGACAACCGGUAUGCUUGCUUCAGUAUUGGCUUUUUUUUAUGGAUGUUUCGGAAUUGUCCGGGAUGGUAAGUUGUUUCAUACCAAUUAACUAUGAAGUACAAACGUUUGUGGGGAAGAAUGUAUGUCUGUUAAGCAUAAGAUGCUUUUUUUCUUUCUCUGGUGUAGGUUAGUGUUGGUACCAUGAAGAAAAAUGGUGUUUGGCAAGAGAAAAAAUGAGAGAAAAAAAUGGCAGCAGACGGUGGAGAAAAAAAACACAAUGAUUUUAAGUUGAAAGUGUGGAGUGAGUUUACAAAAAUUGCACAAAAGCAUGAUUAUAAUCAUGGUAAUGGAGAUUCUUGUAGAUAAAAUGAGGCAACCAUAUGUUUUGAAGGAGAAAAAUGGUGUUUGGCAAGAGAGAAAAUGAGAGAAAAUUUUUUGUUAAAUAGAAGACGUUAUCUAUGAUGCCGCGCGCUUAUGUGGCAUGCCACAUGAGCUAUUAUGUUAAACUACAGUAUGUUGACCGUUAAAAUUGGGCUGAUUUUUUAAAAAAUCGUAAUGUUGAGGGUGUCAAUCAAAAAAUAAAAAGAUCAAAGGUACAAAACCAAAAAUCCCCAUACGUUGAGGUUUUUUUUAUAAUUAUGUCAAAUUUUAACAAAAUAAUCAAUUUAUACUUCUCUUUUUUAACAUAUAGGAGCUAAUGUACUCAUUUUUUAGUUGAGGAAGCAAAACACGAUUAAAUUUCUAAUACAAGAAUUUCUAUGGUACUUUUAUCACGAAAUAAAUUAUAUUAUUAUUGAAGUGUUUUUAUAUUUUUAUAUAAUAAAAAAUUCAUAGAUUUGAAUUUACGAGAAAAAAAAAUUUUCACUUAACUUUCAUUUCAACUAAAGAUUAAUUUACUUUUUUCAUAAGGUUUUAGUAAAUAUAUUUAUCACAAAAAAUUUUUCACCAAAAGUCACGUGGGUCUAUUAUAAUCUAAUACUAAUAGAAUAGAAGAGGAAGAAAAUACUAAUAUAAUAGAAAGAAAAGAAUUGUCUUUUCUGCAUACUUGCUUCGAUUCCGUUGCUACUGCGAGCUUUACGAAUCGAUCAAAUCAUAUAAAUAUGUCUUCAACAUGACAUAGAUUCUCGAAAAGAUCUUGAAACUCCUCAAAAUAUGAAAGUCAGGAUAUUUCAAAAAAAUGGAUUCGAGUUUUUGGUCAAACUUUUUAUUAAUUUUCAAGUUCCUUCAGAAAGCAUUGGAAUACGUUUUCUUUUUGUAUAAGGUUCUGAUUAUUAAAUUUUUCGUGAUGAGGGAAGAGAUUCUGUUUAAAUUUUGGCUCCAUUGAUAUCGAGUUUAGUGUAAUAUUUUAACUUUUUUUUCUUACUACUUCUUUUUCCUUAUUAUAUAUAAUACAAAACUUUAACUAUAAGCUCAUUCACUGUACUUCUUCAAUGGAAAAAAUUCCUAAAAGCUUGAGAAAAAUGUUGGGAGGCUUGUCCUAUUUAUAGAUGAAAGAAAGAGCAUAAAAAAGGCGCUUAAAAUGCUAUGUGGAAGUGUUGGUGACGAUGGUAACAAGCCGACCGCCUUCAUGGAAGGGAGGAAGGAAGAUAAGAGAGAGGAGAAAGAAAAGAGAAGGAAGAAGAACAGAGGACAGCAAAGGAGGUGAAUGGGAGGGGAAAGAUCAUCAAGAGAGAAGGGAGAGGAGAGUGUAGGAAGGAGAGGGGGGCCGACGACUGCCAUAAGACCACCACCGCCGAUUGAAACUGGCAAAAAAAGACUUCUCGAUAUUACAAAAUGAUAGAGAAAAAUACAGGGACUAGAAGAGAACUCUAUCGUGACUCAUGUAUUCACGACUUCUCCAAUAUACCAAAUACUCAGCCUUUAUAAAAAUCUGAUUUUGUGUUAUUGGUCGAACUAUUAACCAAAUCACUAAUUUAUUUAACCUGUUUAACUAACCGAUCGGGAGAUCCUUGUCUUGUCUGGGAAGCGGAUCGGACAAACAUUCUAAUUAAAAAAACAAAGUUUUUGACACGUGGUCAUUCUAUGUCACGUGUGCUUGAAGGAUGCGCUUGACUGGUUUAGAGAAUGGUACUGGGUUUCUCCCUUUAUGGGUGUCCUUUCCAAAAAUUUUCAUUUUGCUUCGGUUUCCCCGCAACCAAACAUAUACUUCACACUGUAAAUCAUAUUGCAGUUUCUCUCUCUCUCUCUCUCUCUCUCUCUCUCUCUCUCUCUCUCUCGUUCUAUCUCUCGUUCUAUGGAUGGAAAGGCGGUUUUUAUCGAAUUUUAAAUUAUUUCUUUGCAGGUAUCUGAUAGAGCAAGGAAAUAUUAGAAACACCAAGAAGAAAAAGGUACAAAACUUUAAUUUUUAGUAUCAUGUUUUCCAUAAUUGUUUGGAGUUUGGAUCCAAAACUUGUGGGGUUUAUUUAUUUUUAUUUGUUUGAUUUAAUGUGGAAGGGAGAAAUUCUUUCUGUAUCCCAUAAAGGUAAAAGGUUGCAUUUUUCAUUAAAAAAAAAUCUGUAGUUGGCAUGGCUACGGGUAACUUUGAUCAAUGACAUUCUAAAUUCAUUUUCUCAUGCCAAAGAAGGGCAGUAUACGAGAGAGAUAAUGGUGUCCUUUAAAUCUUGCGUACCCCAAACAUAAAACAGGAUAAGAUCAUCAAACUCUUUUCAUUUUCUGAAGAGAAGAGAGAGAGAGGGGGAGGGAGGGAGGGAGGGAGAAGAAAAUGUCUCCUUUGUUUUCUGAUAUUUGUUUUUGCUUUUCAGAAUGGCAAUUUUGGAGGAAUCAGUAGUGGAUUCAAAGAUUUCUCCACCAAAUUCAUAUGGAGCUGUAGUUCUUGGCGGCACGUUUGAUCGCUUACACGAUGGUCAUCGUCUCUUCCUCAGAGUAAGCACUUAAAAAAAAAAUCUCUAGUUCUCACUUUCAGCUUUCUUUUUCUUUCAAAAUUUUCAUCUGAACGGAUCAAAUUUCAAAAGAAGUGUGCAUUGUCAACAGUCAUCAACUGAGUUGGCUAGGAGCCGGAUUGUAGUUGGAGUUUGUGAUGGGCCAAUGUUGACAAACAAACGGGUAAAUGCUGUGUUGUGUUUUCUUAGGGGCGAUUGUGCGUAAUAACCUAAUGAACUGCUAUUAUAUGUGGUUUUAGUCAUUGAUAACUGAUUUUUCAUUCGAGAAAAUUUCAGAUAGAUGAGUAGCAAUUUUGUCUAGCUUAACUGAAAUCAGUUUGAAAGGAAACAAAUUUUAUGUCUGAACUCUGUUGUAGUUUGAUAUAAGUUCCUUCUCUAGACUGUAUUACUUAUUGCAAAAUCCCCUUUUGUAAGAGUUGUGAUGAGCACCAAAACCCUAUUUGUUCCUCAACAUUACUAUUUAAAAGAUAUACGUAUUUCAACUUGUUGCUUUUUGUCACAUGUCCAUGAUGGUAAACCGUUAGUGCGGACUUGGUUGAGUUAUUACUCCAUUAUGGUCCUUUCAAAGAGGUGCUUUGCAAACGGAUAUUACAUUCUAGCAAAAAAGUGAAUGCACUCUUGAAGUAAAUCUGUAUCACUGCCGUAUAAAUUUAGACCUAUUUUAAUGUAAGAGAUGAUGUUUUCCAUUUGAGACAUCAAGAUAUUAUGCUUUAUUUUUAUUCCAAGCUGUUGAAAUUCCAAGAUUACAUGAUAUAUAUCGUUUUUUUGUUUCUGUAGUACUCUGAUUUAAUAGAGCCCGUUGAGGAAAGGAUGCAUAAUGUGGAAUGUUAUAUAAAGGUAAAUGAAGGAAUAUCUUGUUAAUGUCUUGCAUGUUGAACCAGGAAAAUGUAUUUAUUCGAUUAAUUCAUUUUAUUUCUGUGAUUGCACCACCAUUUUUUUAAUUCAACUGGAGUUGAAUGUUUUAUGCCAGCUUGAAGUGAGGCUGCAUUAAGGUUAAUGGAUAUAGAUGGCGUGUAUCAAGUUGCAUGUGUUUCCCUUGCCUGUCAUUAUUUUGUGUGUCAGCUAGAUGACACUGCAUCACCUUCUAUCUAGUGUUCUAUAUCUAUUCAAUUAAGAGUUAAGAGAGAAAGCAAAAUAACACAGUACACCAUUCUUUCAACCUGAGAUGUUAUUUAUUGGAUUUUUUUUUGUAUAAUUUGUUAGCUUCUUGUCUUUGGAUAGUAUUGAAUUUGUUUAUACUUGUGCAGUCUAUCAAACCUGAGCUGGUUGUGCAUGUUGGACCGAUUACAGAUCCAUACGGCCCUUCAAUUGUUGAUGAGAAUUUAGAUGCCAUUGUUGUCAGGUUUGUAAUUGAUCAGCAUGUUUUUAGUCUUGUAAAAUAAAGCCUACAGAGCAUUUCCUUUUCGGUGUGGUGUAUAGAAAAAUAGUUGUUUUAUAUGAGUUGUGUCAGUUCGCCUUUCAGGCCUUUAGUCUUGUCUGGCUAUACGUCGAUAGUUCAUAGGUGUUCUCCGUUUUUUAACCUAGUCGGCUUUGCCAAUUGGGGUUUAUUUCUGUAGUUCAUAGAAAUGUGGUUAUGUUAAUGCAAGCUGAAUCUCCAAGGAUAUUGUACUGUUUUUAUUGCUCAAGUAGUCAUGGUCUCGGACGUGCUUUGAUUGGUUUUAAUUCUCUGCAGCAAGGAGACAAUACCAGGUGGAAUAUCGGUCAAUAGAAAGAGAGCUGACAGAGGCCUUUCACAACUAAAGGUUAGAAUUUCCGGGUUUCAUUUUCUUUGUUCAUGUGAUGAGGAUGAAUAUACAUAUAUAUAUUAAGUUGAAGCAAAUUCUGUAUUCGAAAAUAGCAAGGAGUUGGCUUUAUAUGUAUCAUGGAGUUGUGCAGAUUGAAGUUGUUGAUCUAGUUUCUGAAGAGUGUAGCCAAGAUAAGCUAAGCUCAACAACAUUAAGGAAGCUGGAGGCUGAGAAAGCUGAGAAACAGCAAGGGAAGGGUAAGCAUGAUGAUGAGUCGAGGUCAUGCCAAUGUCGAGAAGGUUAGGAAACGACUUUUAUAGCAAGGUGUCCACAAGAGAUUCCCCAAUUACUGCAAUGGCUAUGGAUGUACAUAUCAUUAUCACAUUCUACAAUGUGUUUUAUACUGUCUACUAAAUGAAAUUGAGAAGCACUAGUAUGAAGUCUCAAGGAAUAAAUAUAUUUAUAAAGUAGGUGUGUUCUUACUUUUCUCUUUAGAUUAUAUGUGCUCCUAUCGUUUCCUUGAACUAAGUACUAAAUUUUAUCAUCCAUUAAUAAUUUUCAACAAUAACAUAAACAGAAAACAAGAACUACUUAGCAAGUAUAUUAAAUGUUCAUCCGUGGCAACUUUCUUCUUGUAAUUAAAUAAAUGUCGACUUUUUUUGUUGGAAUUUAAUAGAUCCACCAGGGAGGGCUUUUACGGUAAGCACUCUGAUAAAUUUAGUUCUACAAGUCAUAAGUCAUUAAAAGAAAUUACCUCAUCGUUUUUUAUAAAUGCUAUAAUAUGUAUCAUUUGACUGCAAAUCUUUUUACGAUCUACAUAAUAUAUUUUGUAAUGAAUAGUUUUCAGUAAAAUUUGUGUUCUUAUAAAAACAUUACUCAAUUAUAAUAUUUAUUGUAUAUUUUGUAAUAUGUUAUGUAACACGAAUUAGUGUAAAAAUAUUGAUGCUGUAAAAGUAUAAUAAUUUUAAAAUCUAAAAUCAAUGGUAAACACUUGACAAGUUAAACUAUGUCCAUAAACGAAUAUAACUAAAGAAAUAGUUUAUAACUUAAAUUGAUUUGUACAUCAGCUUCAGCAACCAACGUUCACCGAUCUUGAAAACUCCAUUUUCAAUAUCCAUAUCGCACUCCAUAUUCAUUAAUCAUUUAUAGAACUCAAAGUCAGUGUCAGGCUUCUUCACAUUCGUUCUGUAACCCUUUUCGAAGUCCUUGGGAAGUAUCACAUAUCGGUUCUUGCGAACCGCAUGCAUUCCAGCUUCCUGGCAGAUGGCAGCAAUCUGUCCGAUUCCAACAUGCAUUCCAAUAAUGAGUGAAAAAGAUUUCAAGGCCAAAUCUAGAAAGAGAGACACAUAGGAUGCUAUGAUAGAUAGUAUUCACAACCAACCUCGGCAGCACUAAUUUUAUCAGGCCGACUAACAUAAUCCUCCAAGUCAACCUCAUCGCUUAGGUUCAUUUUAGCAGUGCAAACCUGUGAAAGGUAAAGAUCACCUUAAAUACAGCCAACAAAACAAAAUGCAACCUUUCCUACUCUCAUCUAACCAGGAUGGAUAAACAGAAUGAAAGGAAAAUACACAACUAGAAACAAUCACCAAUCACACUGAAAUGUACUAGUGACAAUAAUGACAUGGACAUAGAAAAUACACAUAUUGCCCUACUUGCCUGGAAAACAAGCCUCUUCUGCCUUCUAUCAGGCAAAGGGAACUCAAUCUUCCUAUCAAGCCUUCCAGGACGAAGAAGUGCAGGGUCCAAAGUGUCUGCUCGAUUGGUUGCCAUAAUGACCUUAACAUUCACAGUCUGGUCAAAUCCGUCCAUCUAGAAAUAGUUUGGAGAAAAUGGUUAAGUAAAUUUCAACUUCCUCAGACAUUUUGAAUGAUACUGUACCUUGCAGAAUCACGUCAAGAAAUUCCUUAAGUCAUACAUACCUGAUUCAGAAGUUCCAUGAGGAUUCGCUGAACUUCUCUAUCAGCUCCAGUUUGGGCAUCAAACCUAGCAGUAGCAAUGGCAUCCACCUCAUCAAUAAAGAUAAUAGCAGGAGCAUUUUCUUUAGCAAGACGGAACACAUCACGAACCAUCCGUGGGCCCUGAAACAGAAACAAUGCUCAAGAUUAUUAUCCGCCAACAGAAGAAGUGAACCGACACUAAAUAACAAUAUGAGUAACAUGAACUGUAGCCUUACCUCGCCCAAAUAUUUUUGAACAAAUUCAGAUCCAACAACUCUAAUGAAGGCUGCAGUUGUAUGGUUAGCAACAGCCUUUGCGAGCAUUGUUUUCCCAGUGCCAGGGGGGCCAUAGAGUAAAACACCACGAGGAGGGUCUAUCCCAAUCUGCUUGUAAAGCUCAUGAUGAGUCAAUGGUAACUCUACAGCCUCACGGAUUUCCUGCUUUUGAAUGUCACAUCCUCCAAUAUCCUAAGUGAAUAGAAGAGAACAAAGUCUCAGAUACAGGGAACAACCACCAAAACAUAACAAUUGUCAUUUUUAUUCCGAGAAAGGAAGAUAUGUACUCUAACAGAGUCUGUUUAGUCUAUUACAGCAGAGGACUAACCCUGACAAUAACUUAUCCCCAAAUCAAAAUAAUACAAGAAUCUUAAAUUUCAAAUAUGUAGUUGGUUCAAAUUAAAUAGUUGAAAAAUGAAAUUAAAUUUACAAUAUUAGAAAGACACAAACGACUACAAAUCAUGUAAGAUACUCAAAACAUCCCUUGCUUUGUUUUAAUAUAGUAACCAGUGAAACGACAAGAACAUUUUAAAAUGAAAUAAAUAACCACUCAAGAAUGAAAAUACUAUCCUUCCACUCAUUCUACAUGUGAAAUUUAAGAAACCACUGAAAAUGGCACAAAUUCAGUGUGGAACCCAUCAGUUUUAAAAUAACAUAGUUUCAUUAUUCAAGAAUAGGGCUGUAAUCUAUACCCAAACAUGGCUCAAGCUCGAUAGUGUUUUAUUUUCUAAGAUUGAGCUUGGCCUGAGAUAUGAUCGAACUACUCAAUUAAUCUCACUUACUCCAUUCCCAUACUUGAGCUCAAGCUCAAAUUAAGCUUUUGCACAUACAAUUUUGUAUAUUAAACUAUAUAUAAAAUGCUCAAUGGGGCUUGCGAGCUACUCGAAGCAGGUAUUAAGUUGCUCAAAUUCGACUCUCUCAUUAUCUUGAGUUGCUUGAGCUCAAACUCAGCUUGACAAAUACUGUAUCAAGCUUGAGUUUUUUGUGAUUCGAAUCCAAAUAACGUGCGAACACAAAUGUCUCUUUUGACACUCCUAUUCAAGAACUAGUGACACAACCCAAAAUUUUAGGUCAACCCUGGAAUAUUGAAGCCUAUUUUAGUUAUUAAGGAUACAGAAAGAAAGCAAAUAAGCUAAUUUCCCCACGUAACAGAUGGAAUUUGCUUCACUUUAUAUUCCAAGCUUAUGUUAAUCUGGCUAAAAGUCCAAUAAACCAAUACAGAGGAGCUCAUGAAAGGUGCAAAUUUUGUCUAACAUAUGGUAGCUUCAAAUUCAAACAUCAAAUUAUUUAAGAAUGUAAAAAGAAAAAAGACUCAAAUACUAUUCAAUUCUUCUUACUUUUCAGCAAAACUAACCUUAUCUAAUUGCCAAACCCAAAACCCCAUUUCUCCCGACAGUGGCAUACAAAAAUCCUAGUUUUUUUUUUUUUUUUAACUACACACCAAACAAAUCGAUUAACACAAGAAUUGAGGCUGCAAGGUAUAAUAAAAAAAAGGACCUAAUCCCAAUCAAUCAUCGCAAACAGAUAGCCUAUAUCCUAAAAAUAAAUCAAUAAACUACCAAACAGAAGAACAGAAGAAAUUAAAAGAAAGAAGAUAAGAAACUGACAUUGUAAGUAACAUCGGGCUUCUCAGAUUGGCUAAGCAGAGAAAUACUGGAAUCAGCCUCGGGAGGCAAUACGUCGACAAGGGCAUUGGAGUGUCGGUGAAGAGCCACAGAAGCCGAGGGCUUUAACAGCUCUCUGUUAAUGGUGCUCAAUAUCCUAACAUAGUAAUUGGAGCCGGUGGUGGAACCGACGAUUCCGUUGUUCUGAUUGACCAUCUCCAUGAACUGGCCGAUGACCAAAGGCACCGACUGGAUUCGCUUGACUUCCUCCUGAGCCCUCAAAAGCUCUCUCUUGAGAUUCUUCUGCUCAUCCUUUACGUACUCUUCUUGGAUGUCUAUGAACUCCAACUGCCUUUGAAGGGAUUUCAGCCUACUGUACAGAUCGUCCUCAUCGGCACCCAAGGGAGGGUCCAUUGUCAGGCACUUGCCGAGGUCGGUUCUUGUGGCGGGGAAUGGUGGCUCUGCCGAGGAUUUCGGUUCCGCCACCACCGUUGAGGCUGCCAUUUGCUUUCUCAGACUUUUGAGUUUGGAUUGAAGAACAAGAAAAGGUCACAACAGAAGUUAAAUAAAAAUCGAAUGGGAUAAAGGAGACCUUUGUUUAUUAUAUACUGGCAGCAAAAAUGGCUCCAUGUACAGGUGUCCCUGGUCAGGGUCGGAUUGAAUUUAGGUCGGGCCGAGUUGAAAUGCGAAAAUUUUUGUCCAAGUUCAACUCUAAUCAAGUCUGGCCUAUCGGGUCAGGUGGGUUAUCCAAUCUUUGAAAAGGUUAAUUUCACCUCUAACUUGGAUUUAAAAUUACAUUUGAUUACUUAAUUUUGAUAAAAAUAUUUCUUCAAUUUUUUUACUUUUAAAAUUGAAUAAAUUAAUUUUUUUAAAAAUGUUUAGAGUAAUUUAAUUUCUGUUAAUUUAAAAUUUAAAUAAUUAAAUAUUAAUUGUGUUUGUUCAAAAUGGUAUAGAAGUUUGUUCAAAACGACAUGUAUUUUCGAAUAUAAAUAUUAUGGGUGAAGCAUUUUAUCAUGGAUGAAGUUUGGACUUAUACAUUUCUUCUUUGUUAAUUUGAAUGUUUGGUUUAAUUUCAUGUAAUUCUAAAUAUCAAUUUUUUUAAAAGAAAAUUGGAGUAUUUGAAUUUAAGAGUGAUAUAUAACGGUGAACAAAACUCGAUUUGAUUCAAAAAAUCGAAAAAAAAUUGAAUUUCAAGUUAGUCGAAUCGAGUUAUUUGAGUCAACUCGAAUAAAUAAUUCAAAUUACGAGUUCGAAUCGAAUUAAAUUUUACAAUUCGAAUAAUAGAUUAGUGUAAAUAAUCAUUUGAUAAUUGUCAAUUUCGAAAAUGAACAAAUUGAUAUCUCUCAAUAAAAAUUAUAAAAAAAAUUUAAAAUAUUUAUAAAAUUUCCAAAUUUUAUAUAAUAUUUUUAAAAUUAUUCUAAAAAAUAUAUAAAGAAAAUUAAAAUUUUAAAAAUAUUCUAAAUUAAUAAUUUUUGGACCUAAAUAAAUAAAUUAAUAAUCCAAGUUUACUUAUCUUAAUUUUUUAUUACUUUGUUUUGAAGAAGUUUUCAAAUAUAUAUGGUUUCAAAUUUAUGUGUUCCAACAUGAAAUUAGUUAUAUUGUAACAAGAUUUUAAUUUAACACGUUUAAUUUUUUAAUUUAACUCGAACAAUUUCACUCGAUUCGAUUCAAUUCGACUCGAAUUUUAUUUUACUCAACUCGAUUCACAAAAAUUUCAAAUCGAGUUAAGAUGAUAAAAUAGGAUUCGUCAACUCGAUUAACUCAAAACUUUUUCAUUCAAUUAGAUCGAACGCUUACCCCUAGUACUAUAUUAUCUCAUUUCUAUAAGAUUGACCUAUCGAUUGCUUUUGAAGUUGCGGAUGAACUUUUUAUAAGGAUUCGGUCAUUCUCUUGUUUUUAUACAUAAAUGAGUAUUAUUAAAUUUAUUUUGAAUUGAAUGGAGUUAAAUUAAAAUUUAUAUUGUAAUUCCGUAAUUGAUUCUUCCAUAGACAUAGAUUAAAAACCCUACAUAAAACAAUUGGGUUACAUUUUUGCUGUUGUUUCAUUAGGUACAAGAAUCUUGCAGCCAAACAAUUUUAGAACCCAAUACAAAUGGUAAUAACAGUGAAGAGCUUUCAUACAACUGAUUGAACAAAGAGAUUAUUACAAAAGGGAUCUCAAGAGAUACCAAAGGCAAAAGUAAACAUUGCAAAGUCCCUAAGUCAAACCAUAAAAUUGCUUGAGACUGUUUUGAAAUGCAGGAGUUUUGUAUACAACGUACCACCCCUGUUCUGUAGGGUGAACUCCAUCCCAAAAGAAUUUGGAUCUAGGGUCUGAGCAAAGUGUGUACUUGUUUUCCCCAUUUUCAUCUACAUUUCCACAUUUAAACACUCCACUUACUCCAAAACAACAUGGCUCAAAUGGCUUCUCAAAUGUUGGAUCAUUUCCUACAAUAAAAAGAAAAGUCUUAUCAAAAUUUAAAGCUAAUUGUACUUCAUGAGUAAACGUCUCAAACUCCAAAUUGAUUCAAAAUAUUAAACAUAUUAGUAUUAUAUCAAUUAAGUCUUUUCGUCAGCUUAAGUGUUAAAUGUUAGUUUCGAUUCAAAUUGUUUAUAUAACAUGUACACUCAUUUAAAAUUCAAUAAUAUAUUUUAAAUACGUUUCAUGUCAUAUUCAAAUUGAUAUUUAACAUUAGCUCACGGUUACUCAUAGAAAGACCUAAUAAUAUGUGAUAUAUUGAAUAUUUGAUUAAUCUAUUUUUAAGACAAAAAGCUAACAAUGAAGAGUUAAAUAAAAUAUUUACCUUGAUAAGUUUCAUUCCGAUUGAAAACUGUCCAAAAGGCAUUAUAAAGAUCAAGAAUAAAGAAGGAGGGGCUGUUGGAGGUGUUGGUUUGUUGGUUCAAGAUGUUGACAACUUGAGGCAAGAGCUGGUUAUGAAGGUCAACGAGGGCGUUGUAAGUAUCGUCGCAGUGUUGAAAGGAGAAUGGGGCGGUGUUUCUAGGGAGGCAACCCAAUGGUAGCAGUGAGGUGAUGCCUAUUUUCCUCACUCCCAUGUCAUGGAUGCGUUUCAAAUUCACCAUAAGUUGGUUCAUGAGGCUUUCCAUGAAGGCCGGAAAAUCCUAUAAAUUUUCAUGAUUUUAACAAUUAAAUAUAAAAUAUAAAAAUAAAUUUAUAAAAAUAAAAAAAUUAAAUCUCAAAUUCACCCAUAAUAUAAAUUUAUAAUAUAAUCCUUUCUCGUAAAUUCUAAUACUUGUAGCUGUAUUUCACAUUUAUUCCGAGUUACCUACAAUGCAGCCAACUAUUUAUGGCUUCCAUCAAAACUACAAUAAUGUUGGUUCCUUUUUCUGUUUUGGUUGUAAAAGGAGCCUGAAUAAUUUAGUUUAAUUAGUCAUCACCAACUAUAAAUAAAACAGAUAUGGUUUUAUUACCUGUGCAGAACCGUUUUUGGCAUUGUAAGUGGCGUAGUCGUUGCCUGCAACACUGACAAAUGCGACUGAAGUUUUCAAAUUCCUUUUAGUGUAGACUGAGUCGUGGAGAAGCUGUUGUAGGAAAUCGAUUUGGGUGGUCAUGUUUGGCUCCGCAACCAUCGUGUCGAACACACCUGUACCUCCAUAAGCAAUGUUCAAUCCAUCCUUCACUCGCUCACUCAGUUGUUCCCUCCAUCUGUACGGUAUCGGUGUCUUCAUUCCCAAGCACCCCGCUGCUUCUCCAAAAACCAUUCCCAAUUUAGUCUUAAUUUGCUUUUCUUAAUAUGUAAUAAAGAUAGAAAUUAAUAUUUUACCAAUGUAAUCAGUGGAAACAAAACCAUCGGAGAAACGACCAGAAGGUUUCCCGGGAAAUGUAAUUCCGUAAGGGAAUUUCCAAGAUCUUGUCUCUGCUAUCUUAGUGUUCCCUGUAUCAGCAUAGGAAUCUCCGAACACAAACAACAUUUUUGGUCUAAAACCAAAGGGUGAUGAUGUCCAAGGCAACCUCCUACCUUCAACAACUUCUUGUUCACCUACAAUCCCAUUGUUUAACCAUCAAAAGAAAUUAUUAAAAACUCCUUGCAAAUGAAGCAGAAAAUGGGAUUAAUUUGUUUUCUUAUUACCUGAGAAAAAACAAACUAGGAAGAAACAAAAGAGUGAGAAGAGAGAGUUUUGAGUGUCCAUGGAAAAGAAAAUUUUUGGGUAAAAGAAAAGAAAGGAAAGGAAAUGGUUUGGUUUGGAUAACCUUAAGCUUGAGAAUUGAUAUUUGGAAGAUGAACGGUAAACCAAUAAUUUCUAGAGGUUAUAUGGUGGAACAUACGUAAGGCUUAAUCAAGAGUUUAAACUUAUAUUUUUCUCUAACAUGCGUAUAUUUCUCUUAAGUUGACUUGGCUAAAUGAUAGACUAGGAAAUUUUUUACUUCGAAGCAUUAGAAUAGGACGUAGGUUGUAUCGUUUGGUUAUCAUAAGGCCAUUGAGGAAAAUCUACAAAUGAAGGUUGUUGUGGAAGCCGGGGAACGACUUUGAUAUUUUUUUAUGGAGUUUAAAGUGAUACUAAUUCUUAAUGAUAAUAAGUAAUAAUAUUUUAUUAUCUAAAAAAUUAAACAAUUAGAAUCUAAAAUACGAUUAUUUUGCUGUAUAACUUUAUAUAAUCUUAUGAAAAGUUAUCUUCAAAAACAAAAAGUAAUCUAGUGAAAAAAUAUACCUAUUUGGUGGGUAUAUAAAAUAUUUUUCUAUUAGUCAUUUUCAUGAUUGUGCUUGGAGUAUUGAUGAUUCUCUUGUAUGUUAGAGCAUACUGAAAUCUUAAUAAAAGUAUUCUAAGCACCUCUAAUCCAUCAUAUUUACUAACAUUUUUCUUUUUAUUUUCUAAAUUUCAAUUUAAAGUUGUAAAGAUGAAUAAAGGAAGAAUACUAAUUUAUUACUAUAAUAUAAUCAUUUAAGAUUAAAGAAACUUCUCCUUUUCUUUUUUUUUUAAGUCAUUUGCUUCUUAUAUUUUGUUUUGCUCAGCGACGGUGUUAGUCUCUGGGUUGGUUAUUGUCCGCCUUUUUCUUCUCCCAUUAACCUUUUUUUUUCCUCCUUCUACACAUGUAUUCUCUCUUUUCAACUUGUAGAUCUAUUUUGUAAAUAUCUUUGUUGUCUUCACAAGUUGUGAUAGAUAGAUGACGGUGCCUGCCGUUUGCUAAAACUCCACUGACCACCAGUAGUUCUUAGAGAGUGGGUGACUCUUCGUCAACUUCUUAAUCUAUUUCUGUUUUGAGAGUAUUUUAGAACAAUAAAUGAUUUCAUGUGUCGAUUUGGACCCGUGUUAUCUUAAAUUUUAUAGGUUUUUGUUAUUAUUGAGUUGUUGUUGAGGAAAAUCUACAAGUGAUGGUGUUGUGGAAGUAGGGAACCAUUUUGGUAUCUUUUCAUGGAGUUUAUUAUAUUGAUAAGUAAUAAUAUUUUAUUAUCUAAAAUAGUUAAGUAAUUAGAAUUUGAAAUAUGAUUAUUCAUUAUUAGUUGUGUUGUAUAAUUUUAUAUAAAAUUGUCUUCAAAAGCAAUAUAAUCUUAUGAAAAAUUAUCUCGUGAAAAAAUGCAUCUAUUUGGUAGGUAUAUAAAACACUUUUCUAUUAAAUAUUUCCAUAAUUAUAUUUGGAGUAUUGAUGAUUUUGUUUUAUUUUGGAGACAUAUUAAAAUUUUAAUAAAAAUAUUUUACGUAACUCAAAUUCAAAUUCAUUAUAUUUACUAAUUUUUUUUUUAUUUUUUUCAAUUUUCUUAUUUAUUUUUUUCUAACAAAAAGUAUUUUUUUUAUAAUUUCAAUUAAAAGUUGUAAGGAUGAAUAAAGGAAGAAUAUCCAUUUAUAAUUAUAAUACAAGCAUUUAAGAUUAAAGAUGAAGCAAGAAUUAUUAUAUUGUUACAAAGUAAGGUAAUUAAUUGUUUCAUUUUGUUUGUAUAAAAAGAUUGUUUUAUUUUAAUGCUCAAAUCUGUUAAUAUUUGGCUGGUUUUGAUAGCUUAGAAUGAUUAUCUUUUCAAUUAAAAUAAUUAAAGUCGUAUACUAGUAACGAUUUGCAUAACUCGCUUAUAUCGUAGUUUACGCUUAUACGGUGCGGGUGUGUGAUCCAACUUAAAUAAACUUUACUAAGGUGAGUUUGCUGGUUAGAUUUCAGUAUUUCUUAUUUUUAAUGCUAUCGAUAAGGUAAAUCUUGAGUCCUGAGUUACAGCAUUAUUUAUCGGUUAGAUUUGUAAUUUCAAAUGAACUGCCUCUUGGUUACUAAGGGUGGGCUUGGAUGGGCGAUUGGGUGCGGUGCGGUGCGUUUAGCUUACUUUUUGUCUCACGCUACAGUAUCGCUAUAGUAUCUAAUCUCACCGCUACCGCUGUUUUUACACUAACCCCAAGUAAACGCACCGCACAUCCAAACUCACCCUAAACAAGUAAGGAGAGAUUGGUUGCCCAGCAUUAAGUCAGCGACUAUAACUAAUUUAUUAAAGGUGUAAAAGUUAUUUUUGCAUCAAUGAUCGAAUUCAUAAAUCAAAUAGAGAUUUACCUUUGACUAGAGCUUUUUCCCAUCAAUUUUUCUAAAACUUUUAAUUAUUGCUUUCUUCAACCUAAGUUUUCAAUUUAAAUUUAGCUUUAGUUUAACUUUAGUUUUCGAUUUCAUAAAAUCUCCCUUCCAAUUUACUUUUAUUAUUUUUUACUUGAAGAAAUAAAGUUAUUACUGAUCUCUAUAGAUACGACCCUACUUGUUGCUUUUACUAAUUACUCUUUUUCAAGUACGUUUUUUUUUGUAGGUCUCGACAACCUAACAUGAAGCAGUACACAAAUUUCUUUACAUGUGAAGAACUCUAACAGUGAAAAAGCAUACAAUUUUUUAUUAAUUGAUUUUAUUUUGAUAAUGUUCCGAGAAUUUCAGAGUUAACGAUAUUAUUUCGAGAAUAUAAGUAGUAAAUUUCUCGAGAGAAUAAAUAAAUAUUAUUUGAAUAAUAUUAGUAGAAUUAAAUUAGACAUCAAGAAAAAGUAUUAAAGGUGAUAAAAAUAUAAAUUACAAUUUCGGGUAAGGACUAUAUUAAAAUUGAAGAGAAAUAUAGACUUAAAAUGUAAUUUUACUACAUAUUUGAGUGGAAGGUGAGUUUUGAUAUUAGCCAUUAAAAACUAAUAACAAUUUAAGUAAGAAAUAUGUGACACAUAAAUAGCUAGGUGGCAAGUGAAAGAAUUGUCAAAUUUCUCGCCUUUACGUGGUGCUAUUACAUGGUGGGGGGAGACGUUUCUCAUGUUUUGGCAAAAGGGAGAAGAAAGAGAAGAGCCAAAAAUUUGAGUGUUUUAGGCAACUUGAAAGAAGAAGAAAACUUGCUAAAACCUUAACAUAUUGAUCAUUACUUCAUGAAAAUACUACCUUAAAUUUUAGUAUAGAAUUAUAGUAGGUUUGGAUGGACGGUGCGUUUACCUGUAGUUAAUGUAAAAACAGCGAUAGUAAUGAUAUUAGAUACUAUAGUGAUACUGCAAUGUGAGACAAAAAAACAAACCAAAUACACCUCACUGCACCCCACCACCCAUCCAAACCCAACCUUAAUCACUAAGACUUUGCUUGGUAGAGUAUAAAGAAAAUUAGAAGGAUGGAAAAAUGAGGGUAGAAAAACAAGAAAAAUGAAAAACAUAAAUCUUCUUUCAAUAGGCGUGCUUGGUAGGAAUGAUGGAAAAUGAGUAGAAAAUUUCGAGAGAAGAAAAUUUCAUCCAUUACUUAGUAGAGUUGAAAAUAAAAGAAAAGAAAAUAUAUUUGAAAAUACAUAAUUUUGAACUAAUAUCCACAUAUCUCUCUUUUUCUUUCCUCUAAUCAUUCCAAUUUGAAAAGAUAAAUUUUUAUGCAUUAGGGUGGAAAAUGCUCAUCCAUUCCAUUUUCUUUCUCUCACUUUUCUCCCUAACAAAGUACAUUUAAAAUUUAUUUUCUUUUCAUUUUUUCAUUCUCUUUUCUCAUCCUUUCAUUUUUUUUUACUCAACUAAGCACAAUCCAAAUCACCUAAUGUUGUUUGCAAUUAAAAGAGGGUGAAAUUGAUUAAGGGAAGCUAAGUUUCUACUAGUUAAAGUGAUAAGGAAGCAAGGUAUAAGAAAUGUUAGUUAAACAAGCAUUCUUUAUUCAAACUUAUAUUGCUAAUCUUAUGUUAUAAGAUGGUGACAAAAAAAUUUGUGUGUAUAUAUAGUGAAGAGAGAAAUGUAGAGAAUGGUUAUGGAGGAUGGUAAGGUGCAACUAAUAGGAGAUUAAUGAACAAGUGUUACAAAAUUUAGUUCAUCUUAAUUCUCGGUAGUAAUGGAAACUUUGUUGUUUAUGGAAUUGUGGUUGAAUUAUAUGUUGUAUUAAGUUAUAUGAAGGAUUAUAGGUUUUUAUAAUUUUUAAAUUUAAAUUCAGAUAAUAAUAUUUAAAUUUAAUGUAAAUAAUAAAAGAAUUUAAAAAUUAAAGCAGAAUUUGAAUUCAAGUAUUACAAAAAAAAAAAAAAAACGGUACACAUAUCCGACCUACCGUGAUCCCUAAAAAGAAGCCAUGCAAAUAUUCUUGCUCCCCCGCCUGGCCUCCAAGUAGGAAAAACAAAGGUUUCAUUGCAGUUGGGGGAGGAAAAUUCUCAGAUCUCUUGCCCUGCAUCGCUGAGAUUUACAAUUGUUUGGUUCCCCAAAGUCCAAGAAGAAAAUGAGUGAAGGCUAUGUUGACUCCGUUGUAGCUUUAAUUUAAUGCCCGAUGGCCUUCUGAGUGGAUGACUCAGAACCUGUUUUAGGCUGAUCUAAAGCUGAAGAAUCCAUUGCAAAAGAAUCGUCGGGGGUGUGUGCCGGACUUAACACACUGGCAUUUAAGAACGGAGGUUGUUUUGGACAAGGAAUUUCACAAUGUGCAUUGGUUAGCAUUUGAAGAACGUCAUGCAUGGAUGGUCUUAUUGCAACUGAAGGUUGAGUGCACAAAAGCCCAACUAGUAGCACAUUAGAUGCCUCCCUUUCCUCAAACUUGCCUUCUAACCCAGGGUCAAUUGAUUGUGUAAUGUGGUCUGCCUUGUAUUGCUUCCAAACCUGAUUGAAAAAGCACAGUAUUAAGAGCCCCUCUAUCCAUGUUCUAUAGUUUAAACAUUAACAUUAAAGAUAUCUGCUUGUAAGAAUAAUGGAUAUCUCACCGAGUACAAAAUUGAACUUGAACCCUCCGAGAAAACACUGUUUUUCCGACCAGUUGCAAUCUCAAGAACUAGCACCCCGAAUCCAUAAACGUCUGCUUUCUCUGUUAGUUGUCCCCGGACAAGGUAUUCUGGAGCCAUGUAUCCUCUGCAACACAGAUUAAAAGUUCAUAGUUGUAUCAUAUCAUAUCAUAUUGUUAUAUGUUUGUUUUGAUUAGAAAGCAAGUCUCAGUGAUUUUGCAUUUAUUUAUCUUUUUGCACCAAAACUAAGUAUCUUACAGUGUCCCUGCAAUUGCAGUACUGACAUGGGAUUUAUCCGAAGCAACGCAACGAGCAAGUCCGAAAUCAGCAAUCUUGGGAGAGAGAUGCUCAUCGAGGAGAAUGUUGCUGGCUUUGAUGUCUCUGUGAAGGAUUUUCACGCCAGAACCUCCAUGAAGAUAUGCCAGCCCUUCAGCUGUUCCACAUAUGAUGUUGAACCUCUGGGACCAGCUUAGAAUAUAUCUUUUGUCCUUAGCUGCAUCAAAUAAUCAUAAUAAGAGUGGAAAAUGGAGAAAUGUAUCAAAUGAUAAUAAGGAAAUUUAAGUUUAGAAAGCAUGCACUUACAGAAAAGGAUUUGAUCGAGGCUCCUAUUAGGCACAUAUUCAUAAACAAGAAGACUCUCUGGACCUUCAAUGCUGCAUCCUAAAAGCCUUACAAGGUUCUUGUGUUGAAUUCCACUGAUCAAAUUUACUUCAUUAAAGAACUGAUCCACCCACUGCCGAGUAUUGAAGAACAAUCUCUUAACUGCAACAGCUUCUGCGUUAGGUAGGACUCCUUUGAACACCGAGCCUGCUCCUCCUUGGCCUAAUUUCAUUGAUUCAUUGAAAUUAUUGGUUGCCUUUUCAAGCAUUUCAUACUUGAAGUUUAAACUAGUCUUGAGUCCGGUGGCCGGAAGGGCAUCUAGACCAGUCACCUCUACGAGAAAUCAACAGAAAAUAGUUAAACAAGUAAAAAAGGUUCAAAUUUCAAUCAUUUUGCUUUAUAUGAUAUAUGUAUAUAUAUACCUUCUUUUGUUCUGGAUAAUUUCUUGUAGCUUACAAAAGCACCAACGACAGCAAGCAAAAGGAAUGUAGCUCCAGAUAAAGCCACUCCUAGGGUGACCCAAUCUGUAAACCCUACAAACACAAAUUACAAGAAUCACUAUCCAACAUGACAGACAACAUAGAUAAAGAAGAAAAUCAAUGUGGGCAGCAAAAUUUACCCUUUUUUUCCACCGUUCCCGAACCAUGAUCAAAGAAUCUAUUGGUUGAAUACCUCAUAUAACACCCAGUAAACAAAGCCCGGCCUUCGGCUGCUGGGCCACACUCCCUCAGCCGCAUCCCUGCAUCGGUGAGGCACUUAUCGCAAGCUUGUUUAUCGAUGGUUUUCCAACACUGAGCCAAGGCGUAAACGGUUACCACCCCACCUUUCACUUCGGUUGUCCCAUAUCCAUUUUUCCGCAACGCAGCCUCCUCGACGUUCAAAAUCACAUGAUCUAACUUACUUUGAAAAUCCUGAGACAUGUAAGUGUCAUUGGAAUCACCUGUAGGGGAGCCACAGGUGACGUGAUCAUACUUUGGAUCAACCCCUUCGUUGUAAAAGUUAUAGUGAUCGAAACGAUGGAAGCAUUGGUCGAGAUAGACCCGGCCAGAUCUGGCAGGAAUGCAUUGUUGGAGUUUUUCUUGGGAUGUUUUGAAACAAAGUUCACAACCGUCAGCAUUCACAUCUUGGUAGCAUUGGGCUAAUCCAAAAAUAUUGUACUUCGGGUCUUCCUUAAACACGGUUCCCCAACUUUUAGAAGACACGAGUUCCCACAAUGAUUCCAUGGCUUCAUUAACUUUGUGACCAAAGUUGUCCGACGUUUGGUUGUUAGUUCCACAUAUAAGGUGGCCUUCAAAGGACAAGGAAGGGAAAAAACAUGAACAAAAUACCAAAAACAUCCAUAUUGUUUUUAUGUUCCAAGGAUAUGGGAUUGAUAAUCGCAUCGAAUUCUAUCUCGGUUGUUGGUGCAAUUUUUAUGAACACAUCGAAGGUUACCAGUUGUGUUGUCUUCUCUUGUCUUCUCUCCUAUCCUACCCCUCUCUCCCUGUGUUGUUCGGGUAAAUAUGGGUGUGGGGAUGGAGAGAGGAUUUUGAAGCCCAAGGCUAGGGAGGUAUGGAGUCGUUGUUGUGUGUACGAGGUAUGAUGUCUGGUGCUUUUUGCAUGCAUAAGGGAAGAUGGUUUGUUUUGUUUGUCUUUAUUGUUUCGGGGAGACAGAAAGAUAAAAAUGCAAGAAUCAAGAACUGAAUUUCGUUUCUCUUUGUUGUUUUAAGGCCAUUUUUAGAUAACUGAUUCAUGGCAUUUCGCUGUAAUGUAACCCUUGCGCCAACGUUCCAUAUCAGCCUUCAGCCGGCAACGUGGGUCGACUUCCACAACUGCCCCGCCUUGCGGGACAGCCAGCUUUGUUUAAAAUUGUAAUUAAAUAGCCAAUUCAGGUAAUUAAAUUUAGUAUAAUAAUACCAAAUUAGAACUUUUCUUUUUAUAUUUUUUUUAUGAAAACAAACAAAAGGAAUUAAACUAAAUUAAUUUGGCCACAAUUUCCUUCUAAUCUAUCGGAAACUAAGACUUUUAUUAUCUCCUAAGCGGACUCUCAAACACUUGCAAAUCUUCCCUCCUAUCAAAAGACAUUUUUGCCAUGCGUCAGCGGCUUGAAUCUUUUGUCUAGGAACAUGCCUUAAAGCCAAUAACUUUAAUGUUGCAAAACUUAUUGAAUCCGCUUGAGUCUCAAUGAAGCGGAUUCUCAAUGAACUGUCUUGGAUAACUUUGACCACCUACAAACUGUUAGAUUGAAUAACUACCUUUUUAUAGCCUUGUUUUUGAAGAAACACCAAACCAUCCAAAAUAUCUCAUAAUUUUAUAUCAAACACUGGGCAUUGCCCCAAAUGUCGAUUAUAUCCGAAAAUCCAAUCAUCAUUCCCAUCACACACUACUCCCCCAGCAACUCCAAUUCAUGAGUCCAAUUUAACAACACCAUCCCUAUUUAAAAGAACCAAAUUACUUGUCAAUACCUGACUAGAGCUAUCCUCAUGUUGGCUAAUCUAAGUAUUCUUAUGAAUUGUACUGCUUUGCCCAGCUAUAGGAGACUUCGACGAUCUCAAAAGGGCUCCAAGAUACACCUUGAAAGGUGAAGAGAUUUUUGUUCUUCCAAAUACGCUAAGCAAGCAAGCCAAAAAGACAAGGCCAAGGAAUCCCUCUUAUGAUUGUCCUCGAGUUACUCUAUAAAUUAGAGACAAGCCAUUCAUAGAAAUUAAUAGAGAAAAACAUGCUUCAAUGAUUAAUCGAAAUAACCUACAACAAAACUUCCUUGGCGACUGAAGAGUCUCUAAGCACGUGUAACAAAUCUUUUGAUGCAUGGCCACAGAACGAACAAGAACUAUCAUUUCCAAUUCCCUAUUUCACUCGUUCUACAUUGGUAAGUAAUCGUUGUUUGAGUACUAACCAAAUGAAAAACCUUGCCCUUUGGGGACCCUGAAACUUCAAUGCCAAUUUCCAUGUUGUAUCUCUAGGAGACCAAGUACGCUCUCGUAAUAGUUAGUAUGCACUUUUAAUGGAGAAAGAUCCUGUUGAAGUACCCAUCCACAUAAUUCUAUCCAGUUCCACUGUAGGAUGAGAAGGGGGAAUACUCACAAUACGUCUUAUGACAUCUUUCGAUGCCCAAACUCGAAAAAGAUCUGAUUUUACAUACCUUGUUCAUUAUCAUUUCACCAAGCAAACAAUCUGGAAUAAGGUUGGCUUGAAAAGGAAUUCGUAAAACUAAAAGACCUGCUUAGGGACCUAGAGAUCUGUCCAACACCGAAUGUUGUUACCAUUUCCUACUGACCAAGCUAGAUUACCACGAUGCAAAGGCUAGAUCUUGGCAAAGGUCUUCCAAAGGAAAGAACAUCUACCUCGAGAAAUACUUUCCGGUAAUCUCUCAUUUAGGUUAUACUUAGAUUGAAGAACACAGACCCAUAAAGCAUUAUCCUUUGAAACUAUAUUAAACCCAAGUUUCAGGAAAAAAGAUGUAUUAUGGUCCCGCAAUUGCCUAAACCCAAGACCACCAUAGCAACAAGGUUGACAAACUGAAUCCCAUCCAAUAAGAGCCAAAUUUUCCUACCAUUUGAGGCACCCCAAAUGAACUGCCUAGCCAUGCGUUCGAUCUCCUCACAGAUACCUUUGGGAAUAAUCAUGGAUUGCAUAAAAUAGGUAGGAUUCGAUAAUAAGACUACUUGUGCCAAAGUAGCUCUACCUGUCACAGCCCAAUAUUGACCCUAAUCGGACAUAGUGGUUCCGGGACCACAAAUCCGAGUAAAAAAAUAUUUUAAUAUUAUUUUGUGAGUUUAUUAUGUGUGAAUUUGAUUGUGUAAAAUUUUUGUGUUUUAAUUUCGUCGUUUAAGUGUCCGAUUUAAUAAAAGGGGCUUAAUCGCGUAAAAUGAAAAUUUAGGGGUUAAAUAUAAAAGCACCCAAUUGUUGUUGCCUUUUUAAAUGGGAGGAUUUAUGAUGCAAUAAGACCAAAAGAAGGAUAGUGGGUGGCAUUUGAAAAAACUAACCUUAAGUUAUAUGUUAUAUAUUAUUAUAAGGUUAAUUUAGUAAUUAGGUAAAUUAUAACAUUAUAAUAAAAUAAGUCAUAAAAAGAUGAAAGCAUUCAUCUUUGUUAGCCGAAUGUUGAAAAGGAAGAAACCAUCUAUGGCUUCUUAGGUUUCGGCAUUUUCUUAGCUUGAUUAAGGUAUGUUUUAGUUUCGAUUUUUGAUUAUUUUUAUGUUUUUGUGAUCGUUGCUUCUUGUUCUAUCUAGCCCAUGCUUUAAUUUUAGAAUUUGAUGGUCAUUUUGAGAUAUGUCAUUGAUGAAUGUUUGAGCUUUGUGGUAUUUGAUGAUGAAAUAUGAAAGAUAUGUGAAAGAUUAACAUGUUUUGUCUUUGAAUUUUUGGUGAAAUUGAGUAAUUAGGGCUAAAUUGUGAAAAUAAAUUUUUGAGGGACUAAAAUGUGAAAUAAAUAAAAUGUGAGGACUUGUAUGAACAUUAGGAAUAUUCGGCCCUAGCAUGGAUUGUUUAAAUUUUGUGCUUUAUACAAUAUGGACUAAAUUGCAAAAAGUGUAAAAUAUCAGGGGCAAAAUGGUAAUUUUCCAAUUUAUGUGUUUUUGGACUAAAUUGAAUAGAAUAAUAAUUAACUAGUUUAUUUUGAAUAUAUUAAGAUCAAGAACCAAAGAAAUCGGAGUUGUGGAUCGAGGAAAAACUAAAGUCGUCGAUUAAUUACCGGUUUCGAUUUUCACCGUUCGAGGUAAGUCUAUUAGAAAUUUAAUGUUAUUAAAUCAAUAUAUAUAUCAUAUAUUUAAUAAGCUGGAAUUAAUAGUAUAUAAAUCGAUUAGAACUUUGUGAUUUUCAUAUGUGUUAGCCGAACAUAUGAACUGAAUUAGUUAGAUUCAAAUUAGUGGUAUAACUUACAUGUAUAUUAGCUAUGGUAUGCUUUAAGCUCAAUGAAAUGAAACUAAUAGUAGAAUUUACAUGGUUAAAGUUCGAAUCUGUGAUACAAGUUUAUUGAGUUGAACUUAAUAUUAUGAAUUUUAUAUACAUAUGUGGUUCGAAUAUUAGUUACCAAUUCCUUGAGCUGAAGUUAAAGUUGUGAAUUAUACAUAUAUGUUUGAAUGUGUGGUUGCUAUGAAGAAUUUAAUAUAAUUCAAUUUUUAUGGAGAUACGGUUAUUGAGUAAGAUUUAUGUAAUCAUAAAGAAUUAUAUGAAAGAUCAUCUUUGUAUAUGAGAUUUUCAGGCUUUGUGCCUAGCAAGCUUAAUGCCGGUAAAAUAUUUCAGACUUUACGUCUAGUAGGCUUAAUGCCGGUGAAAUAUUUCAGACCUUACGUCUAGCAGGUUUAAUGCCAGUGUAUUGAAUCAGGCUUCAAGCCUAGCAGGCUACACGUCGGUGAAUCUAUUCAAUAUAUGUGUUUAGAAAGUUUAUGUUUAUUGUCAACGUAAUAUCAAAUGGAUUGUAAAAAAAAUUAAAUAAACAUGUAUGUAUUAUGAUAUAUCCUGUUCGAUGUUGAGGUAAGUAUAUUAAUUGAUUGUAUAUAAAAGUGAUAUUGAUAGAUAUAUAUAAGUAUUUGUCAAAUAAAUAUUCGGCCUUAUGCUAUAGUAAUUUCAAUUCAAAAGUUUAUAUAAUGUUUAUUAGAUGUAAUGAAAUUGUUCUAAGGUUAAUAAAUGUUUAGAUAAUAAUUAUAUGUGGUACUUACGGUUUUAAUAAAUUUACUUAAGGAAUUAUAUGAUUUUUAUAUAUUUUUGUUAUGUUAAAGACUUACUAAGCUUUAUAAGCUUACUUGGUGUGUUUACGUUUCUCUGUUUUAUAGACUUUUAAAUCAAGCUUCAAGCUCGGGGAUCGUCAGCAAAAUUCAUCACUCUAUCUACUAUUUCGGUAUUUAAAUGUUUGAACUCAAUUUAUGGCAUGUAUAGGUUGGAUGAUAUUUUGAAUGUCGUAUUUUGAAAUUUUGUAACUGUAAUUAAUAGCCAUGCGAAAGUGGCUUAUUUUCUUGCAGUUGAGUUUGUUUUCAAUGCAUAUGUUUUGUACUAAUGGUUUAAAACCAAGCUUAUACUUAUGCAUAUUUGAUCGUGGUUUAAGCUUAUGAUAUAUAAAUAUAUGUGAUGCAUAUGUCUUGUUUUUUUUUUGAAUUUGAUGAUUCGGCUAUGGAGUUAGUUAUUUGGCCGAAAGUACAUGUGGUUGAAUGACAUUUAGUUUGAAUGUGUAUGGGUUAUAAUAAAUUAGUUGGUAUUAGUCAAAUAUGUCAUAUACAUGUAAUAUGUUUUGGAUUUGGUAUUAUAUGAAUUCGGUUAUAGGUAAAUGGUUUAGCAUGUUUUAGAUUAAAUGGUUGAUAAAUUUAGUUCAUGAAAGGUGUUUAUAUUAACAAAAUGUUAUGAAAUAAAUUAGUAAUUUGCAUAUGUAUAUUGGAUUAUAUGAAAUUUAAAAUUAUGUAUAAUUUUGUAUUAAACUAAUUAUGAGUAUAAGUAUAGUUGACUUGUAAAUUGCAUAUUCGGCUUAUGUUUCUUUUAAAAUGGCUAUAAUAAUAUAUUCAUUUGUGCUAGUUGAUAAUAAAUAAUAAUGUAUGUUUUAAAACUCUUAAAUAAUAUAUUAUAUACAUAUGUAUGUAUUUAAAGUAAGUUUGAAAUCUAUAAACUAUUUACCUAUACAUUCAGCUAAAGAUAGUAACAUUAAAAUGAAAAUUUUUGGGUUUAGUAUGUAAAGCAUUUCAAUUUUAAUGGCUGGCCAAAUAUGUGUAUAUGAAUAAUUGAGUAGUAAGUUCAGGUAUAUUUUGAGUUAAACUAUUAGCAUGUGAAUUGUUUAAAUUCUUGAAUUCUAAUGAACGUCUGUUCUGAGUUGUGUUAUGUCCGGUAAUGCCUCGUAACCUUAAUCCGACGACGGAUACGAGUUAAGGGUGUUACACUACCAGCUAAAUAUAAUUGUCUGGCAUCCCAACUUUGUAACUUACUAUGAACUUUUCCCACCACAAAUCUCAAGUAACUAGUAGUAACACUCUCAUGGAAUAAAGGUACACCUAAGUAGUGUCCAAGAUUAUCCACUUAUUAAAAACCAAGCAAAUCACUAAUCAGCAUCUCUAGAUCAUCAUCAACUGUACUGGAAAAGAAGAUAUUUGUUUUUAGAGCGUUAACCUUAUGCCUAGAGAAAGUACAGAAACACUCUAAAAUAUCCUUAAGAAGUCGAGCUUGUUGUAUAUCCACUUUGCUAAAAAUAAACAAAUCGUCGGUAGAGAAAAGAUAAGAUAUAAUCGAACCAGUCUGGGAUAACCAGAUAAGACACCUCUUACCUAUAAAUAUAGCAGAGUGGAGACUAUGUCCAAGGCAUUCCAUACACAAUACAAAGAGGUAGGGAGAAAAAGGGCAUCGUUGUCGAAUCCCUCUGACAGGCCUGAAUUUCUAAGUCGACACACCAUUCCAGAAUACUUGCAUGGUAGAAUUAGAAAUAGCAGACAUAAUUAAAUUUUUCGGUAAAAUUUAAUUCUGAAGUAUCUAGAGUGACUGUAGAAGUAUCGAGUCCGUUGGGGCAAACAGUAUUAGUGAAUCAGGUUUGUCCGAGAUGCCCGUUAAUUAUACAAAAUAAAACUUUUCCUAUUGACCUGUUGAUUAUGCCAUUUGGGGAUUUUGAUAUAAUACUGGGGAUGGAUUGGUUGUCUGAACACGGAGUGGUAUUGGAUUGUUAUAAAAAGAAGUUUAGUAUCCAGACAGAAGCCGGGGACAGAAUUAAGGUAAAGGGUAUUUGUAGUAAUGGACCGGCACGUAUUAUUUCAGCGAUAAAGGCUAAUAAAUUACUUCAGCAAGGUUGUACAGCAUAUUUAGCCUAUGUUAUUAAUUCUGAUUUGGUUGGUAGUCAGUGCAGUAAGAUCAGAAUCGUAUGUGAGUUUCCAGAUGUAUUCCUUGAAGAACUACCGGGUUUACCAUCUGACAGAGAGGUUGAAUUUGCUAUAGAGGUGUAUCCGGGUACAGCACCAAUCUCUAUACCACCGUAUCGAAUGUCGCCCACUGAGUUAAAAGAGUUGAAAGUGCAGUUACUGGACUUGUUAGAUCGUGGAUUUAUUAGACCGAACAUUUCGCCUUGGGGAGCUCCAGUAUUGUUUGUUAAAAAGAAAGAUGGAUCGAUGCGGCUUUGUAUUGAUUACCGACAGUUAAACAAAGUGACGAUCAAGAACCGUUAUCCGUUGCCCCGUAUAGAUGAUUUAUUUGAUCAGCUAAAAGGAGCUUCAGUAUUUUCGAAGAUUGACUUGAGAUCUGGGUAUUAUCAGCUGAAAGUAAAAGAAAGUGAUGUGCCAAAGACUGCUUUUCGUACUCGAUAUGGUCAUUAUGAAUUUUUGGUAAUGUCGUUCGGGUUAACUAAUGCUCCAGCUGCUUUUAUGGAUCUGAUGAAUCGUAUUUUUCAGCCGUAUUUAGAUCAGCUUGUGGUGGUUUUUAUUGAUGACAUCUUGGUUUAUUCGAAGUCAGAGUCAGAGCAUGAUCAGCAUCUCAGAACCGUGUUACAGAUUCUGCGGAAAAAAUAGUUGUACGGGAAACGAAGUAAAUGUGAAUUCUGGUUAUCAGAAGUAGUAUUCUUAGGACAUGUUGUAUCUGCGGAUGGGAUUAGAGUUGAUCCGAAGAAGAUCGAGGCAAUUGUUCAAUGGAAGGCACCAAAGAAUGUAUCAGAGGUACGCAGUUUUCUUGGUUUGGCUGAGUAUUACAGAAGAUUUGUAAAUGGGUUUUCGAAGAUAGCUUUGCCGAUGACCAAGUUACUACAGAAGAAUGUUUCAUUUAUCUGGGAUGAUCAGUGUCAGAGAAGUUUUGAGACAUUAAAACAAAUGUUGACAGAGGCACCAGUCCUAACUUUACCAGAAUCAGGGAAAGAUUUCAUAGUGUACAGUGAUGCUUCUUUGAAUGGUUUGGGUUGUGUAUUGAUUCAAGAUGGAAAAGUAAUAGCUUAUGCAUCUCGACAGUUGAAGCCACAUGAGUGCAAUUACCCGACACACGAUUUGGAGUUAGCUGCUGUAAUCUUUGCAUUGAAGAUUUGGAGACAUUACUUGUAUGGUGAGAAAUGUUAUAUUUAUACUGAUCAUAAAAGUCUUAAAUAUCUUUUUUCACAAAAGGAGUUGAAUCUGAGGCAGAGACGAUGGAUAGAACUUCUGAAAUAUUAUGAUUGUGUUAUAGAUUAUCAUCCAGGAAAGGCGAAUGUAGUAGCAGAUGCAUUGAGCAGAAAAGUAGCGGUUGAAUUACGGGCAAUGUUCGCUCGGCUUAGUAUUAAUGAUGAUGGAAGUUUGUUAGCUGAGUUAAGAGUCAAUCCGGUAAUGUUUGACCAAAUCAGAGCAGCACAGCUAAAAGAUGAAAAAUUGAUGAAGAAAAGAGAAAUGGUACAGUAUGGUGCGGUGGAAAAUUUUAGUAUUGACGAGCAUGAUUGUUUGAGAUUUCAGAAUCGAAUUUGUGUUCCAACUACUUCUGAGACUAAAGAACUGGUUCUCCGAGAAGCACAUGAUAGUAUUUUUGCUUUGCACCCAGGUGGAACGAAAAUGUAUCGUGAUCUACGAGAACUGUAUUGGUGGCCAGGGAUGAAGAAAGAUAUAAUCGAGUAUGUUAGUAAAUGCUUGACUUGUCAGCGGGUAAAAGCAGAACAUCAGGUACCAACAGGUUUGUUACAGCCUAUUACUAUUCUCGAGUGGAAAUGGGAUUGCAUUACCAUGGAUUUUUUUACGGGAUUGCCAUUGCCAGUGAGUAAAAAGAAUGCCAUUUGGGUGAUUGUCGAUCGACUCACAAAGUCAGCUCAUUUUAUAGCAGUUAGAACCGACUGGUCACUACAGAAGCUUGCCAAGGUUUAUAUUCGGGAAAUUGUUAGAUUACAUAGUAUUCCGAUAUCGAUAAUUUCAGACCGAGAUCCUCGAUUUACAUCGAGAUUUUAGAGGCAGCUACAUGAAUCAUUGGGUACUCGACUUAAUUUCAGUACAGCUUUCCAUCCUCAAACUGACGGACAAUCUGAACAGGUAAUUCAGAUAUUAGAAGAUAUGCUUCGAGCUUGUAUCAUUGAUUUUGAAUCAGGUUGGGAACAAUAUCUGCCACUAGCAGAAUUUAUUUAUAAUAAUAGUUUUCAAUCUAGUAUUUAAAUGGCUCCGUAUGAAGCACUUUAUGGUCGAAGGUGUCGAUCACCAGUGUGUUGGAUAGAAUUAAAAGAAAGAAAAAUGAUUGGGCCGGAAUUGAUUCAAGAAACAGAAGAAACAGUUAAAAAGAUUAAAGAUAGACUGAAAGCUGCUUUCGACAGACAGAAAUCUUAUGCGGAUUUGAAACGACGAGAUAUUGAAUAUUCCGUUGGUGAUAAGGUAUUCCUCAAGGUAUUACCGUGGAAGAAAAUUUUGAGAUUUGGUCGGAAGGGAAAAUUGAGUCCACGUUUUAUUGGGCCGUAUGAGAUUGUGGAAAGAAUUGGGCCUGUUGCUUAUCGAUUAGCUUUACCUCCAGAAUUACAGAAAAUUCAUGAUGUUUUUCAUGUUUCGAUGCUUCAGAGAUAUAGAUCGGAUCCUUCUCAUAUCAUUCCCACUGAAAACAUUAAAAUUCGAUCUGAUUUAACAUAUAAAGAAGAGUCGGUUCAGAUAUUAGCACGAGAAGUGAAAGAAUUAAGAAAUAAACGGGUUCCUUUAGUAAAAGUUUUAUGGAGAAGUCAUAGUGUGAAAGAAGCGACUUGGGAACCGGAAGAGACGAUGAGAGCACAAUAUCCUCAUCUCUUCUCAGGUAAAUUUCGAGGAUGAAAUUUAUUAAGGGGGAGAAAUGUAACGACCCAAAAUCCAUGGGCACCGGAAAAGUGUGUGUAUUAUCGGGCCUCCGUCUUAGUGAAUUGAGUUCGAAAAUAAUUAUUAGAAGUAAUUAUGAGUUUAGUGAGUGAUUAAUUAUGUAUUAAUUAAGUGAAUUUAGUCUAAUUAAAAAUGAUUAGGAAAAAUGAUUAAAUUGCAAUGGAAGUGAAAGUUUAAUUAUAGAUUAAAAGAAAGUUAAAAGGACUAAAUAGGCAAAUAUGCCAAGUCCCAUAAAUGAGGUGGCAUAUGCAUUAAAUUCAAGAUUUUGUUUAAGUUAUAUAUAAAUAUUAUAUGUAUAUAAAUUAUUAUAAUUAUUAUAAUUAUUUAUUCAAAUGGUAAUUUAUAUUAAUUGAAUUAUUUUAUUAUGGAAUAAAUUAAAAUUAAGACAAAUGUAUGGUGAAAAGAUGGUACAAGUGUAAUAAUAAUAUAUAUACACUUGUAUUAUAAUUAUUAUUUACUUAAAAUUUAAGUAAAAGAUAUUAAUUAAUUAAUUAUAUUAUGAGAUUUUUAUUUGGUAAACAAAUUAAAUAGUGACAAUUGUAUGGUGUUGAUGGUGUACAAAUGUGAAUAUAUGAUUGAAUAUUUAAUAGGUAUUUAGAAUAAAAUAUAUAAAGUAAAUAAAAUAAAAUGAAAUAAAAGAAAGAAACAGAAUAGGCAAGUGAAAAAUAAAAACAGAGAAAGAGACGAAACAGAGGAGAAACAGGGGAGAAAGAAGAAAAAGAAAGAAAAAGGGGAAAAUAGAUUUUUAAAGCUUGGAGUUAAUUUGGUAAGUCAAUUAAGCCCUUUUUAUUUAGUUUUGAUGAUUUAGAAGUUUUAAAACAAAGUUUUGAUGAAAUUAAGUUAAUAUUUUGGAAGUUUAUAGUUUUUUUUAAGCAUGAUUCAUGUUGAAUAAAUUGCUGAAUUAGGGAUUUAAUUGAAUAAAUUUCAAGUUAGAAUUGAUAAAAGGAUUAAAUUAUAAAAGAAACUAUAAGUUUUAUGUGUUAGGGACUAAAUUGGGGAAAAUUCGAAAUUAGGAAAAUAUGCUGAAAUUUUAAUAGUUAAAUUUAAGUUUGGAUGAAAUUUGAAUAGAAAUAGAGUGUGAAUUGAAUUAGGAAAGUAAGUGAAUUUUGUUAGGAUUAAAUUGAGAAUAAUGAAGAAAUUGAAUAGAAAUUUAAUUAUUUAUCAUAAUUAGUGUUGAAAUUAAUAGUAUAAAUUAUUAUUAUUUUCGUAGCUAACAAAGAACCCGAGGCAUCGCCAUCAAAAGGAAAAGGGAAAGCUAUCGAGGACUAAAGCGGGAGAUUUACGGUUUGUAUUACCAUAAUUCAAGUUAUUUAUUAUUAAAUGUUAAAUUUUAAAUUAUGUGUUUAGUAAAUGAAAUGUGAGGUAAGUAUUAAUAUUAUUAUUAUUAUUAUUAUUAUUAUUAGUGGGAAUUAAAGUGAAUAGUCGAUAUGAAUAAAUAUUUGAAUUGUUUGUUGAUUGAAAUUGGGAAAUGAAUUUGAAUCGAAUUGUGAAUGGUAUUAAAUUGUAUGGAAAUGUAUUGAGUUGUGAAAAUGUGUGAAUUUGUGAAAUAAUUAUUGAUUGAAAGGUGGAAAAAUGAUUGAAUUGAAAAUGUGAGAAAUUGUAAUUGAAUUGAGAAUAUAUGUGAUUUAAAUACCCUAUUAACUAGUCGGGCUGAGUCGGAUAUAGUUGGCAUGCCAUAGGAUUGGAAGAGUUCAGGGAUACUUCGACCUCGAGUCGAUGAGACACUGGGUGUCACUAUAUUCCUUCGGAUAGAUUCGAUGAGGUACUGGGUACCAACUUUCUUCGGCUUUGCCGAUGAGACACUGGGUGUCAACUAUUGCUUCGAACUAUUCGAUGAGGCACUGGGUGCCAUUCUGGUGUGUUUGGUUGGAUCCGUGUAUCCACCAAAGUCCGAGUUUUGUUAACAGGGUAAAUGAUGAAAUGAUAAACCGAAUGAGUUGGUCAAAUGAGCUAUUGAAAUGAAAUGAAAAAGUUGAAUUGUGAAUCGAAAUGUGAAAUGAGAUUGAGAAAUGAACCUAAGGUUCAUGAUUUGUUCAAACUCAAAUUAUGGAUAUACGAUAUUGGUUGAUGAAUUGCUAUUGUUGAGAUAUUGAAUUUAAAUUGUCUAUGCGAAUUAUGCAUUACAUGUUUAUUAUUGUUAUAAUUUGAAUUAUGGUAAUACCACUGAGUAUGAAAUACUCAGCGUACGGUUGUUUCCGUGCGCAGGUCGAUAGAAGUCAAAGGUCCCGAUUCAGCAUCCAGAUCAAUUCCGACUUCAGCGUAACUUUGGUGAUGUAUAUUUUGUUUGGUAAAUGUGGCAUGUACAUAGGAUGUGUAUAAAGAUUAUUAUGUUUAAUAUAAAUGGUUAAAAAUGUUAGUAUUAUAAGUUUAAGAUUUAUAAUGAAUGAAGUUUACCUAAUUUGAUUUAUUUAUUGUUUUGUUAAAUUUAAAUUAAUAUCAUGUAGAUUGAGUUUGAUUAGAAGUAUUUAGAAUAGAAAAUGUGAAUGUGAAAUGAAUUGGUUGAUUGGUUAUAUUUGAAAAUGAUAUGGUUUUAAAUUGCAGGGGUUUGAUGUAAAAAUAAGCAGAAAUGUUGCCGAAAAUUUUCUAAAAAUGAAUGAAAUCAAUUAGUAAAAUUUAUAACAGUUUAUUAAUUAUCUUAAUAGGUUGGUUAUUUAUUUAAGAAUUAUUUUUAAAUUUCUUGGUAUAUCCGGUAAUGCCUCGUAACCCUGUUUCGGCGACGGUUUGGGGUUAGGGGGUGUUACAGGGUCCAGGUGUUGUUACGGACAAGAGCAUCCAACUCAACAAGAACAGCUUCUUUCCAGAGGGGAUGAGCCAUAGCAGCAUGAACGUUCGUAGGAACAUCAGGCGAUAAGUCAACACCACUUAUGUAAAACUUCGGUUUAAAAAUGCCGGCUUUGCUGCGGGUGACCAUAGCAUCAGAGUUUUGUGGAGUAGGAAUGGGAGAUGAUAUAGGCACAAGGACAAGUGAGUGAGUUAGUGACGCAGUUGAGGGACCAGUCAACAUGGGAGAGAUAGGUGAGUCAGGUUGUGGACAGACCAGUGAAGUAGGUAGGGAGGGUGGUAAGGACAAAGUAGGUUGACUAGAAGACUGAGCGGAUGACCCAUGAAGGUUUAAUCUGGGAGCUAGAACCAUCAACCUGGAGCUAGUGUGAGAGGGUGUAGUGACUGGGGUUGUUUUGGAACAAGUGUCUUUGAACUGAAAUUGAUCUUCAUGAAAUGUUACAUGUCGAGAGAUGUAAAUUCGGCCAUUGCUAUCUUGGCAACGAUACCCUUUAUGAAGAGUAGAGUAUCCGAGAAAAAUGCAAGGAGUGGAUAGAAAUUGGAGCUUAAGUUUGUUAUACAGUCUAAGGUUUGGAAAACACAGGCAUCCAAAGGUUCUAAGGAAGGAAUAGUUGGGCUUAGUUUGAAAAAGCUUUUCAUAAGGAGAAAUAUAUCCUAAAGGUGCAGAGGGUAAUCUGUUAAUGAGAUAGGCAACAUUGCUGAAAGUAUCAUUCCAAUAUGUCACUGGUAUUGAGGCAUGAACGAGCAUAGAGAGCCCAGUUUCAACUAUCUGGCGAUGCUUGCAUUCAACCAAGCCAUUUUGGGCUGACGUGUAGGGACAUCUGACUCUCUGCAGAAUUCCAUGCUGAGCGAGGUAGGGUCGAAGAGCUUGAAACUCACCCCCACCAUCUGUUUGUAGUGAUCGAAGCUUCAGCCCAAGAGCCCUCUCAACAUGUUUGUGAAACUAAGGAAAAACAGUGACAACUUCUGACUUUUUAUGCAAGAAAUAGAGCCAUGUAAAUCUUGUAAAAGCAUCUGUAAAUGCUACAUAAUAUCGAAACCCAUUCGAUGUUACCGGUGCUGGACCCUAGACAUCUGCUGCUACAAGUUGUAAAGGUGCAACAUAUUGAGUCUCUGAGGAGGGUAAGGGCUGUUUAUGCUCUUUACCUAAGUGACACGCAACACAUGCAAACAUAUCUUUAUUGUCAUAAAAAACCAUAUUACAACACUGUAAUGCUUUGAUCAGUACAUUUCUGCAAGGAUGACUUAGCCUAGCAUGCCACAGACUUAGAGGGACUGAAGCAUGAGUUUGAAAACAACUAGCUGCCUGACUAGGCUGAUCAUUCUUAAGAGUGUUGUUGAAAUGAAGCUUAUACAGGCCAUGCUGCACUGAACCUUGAAGAAGCACCUCAUUGGUCUUUAAGUCUCGAACUUGACAUUGUGAAGGAAAGACACAGAAAGCAGGUUUUUAGUUAUUCAAGGUGUAUAUAGUAAAGACUUCAUGUAAAGUGGUCGUGUCUUAGUAAUAAGAGCUGACUGACCGGAGCAUAACACAGGCAGAGAAUUACCAUUACCAACAUACACCCUACCUGGUCCAUGACGAGACGUGUUAUCAUCAAGAGAUUCAACUGAGUGAGUGAGAUGAUGCGUUACCCCAGAAUCGGGAUACCAUGCAGCAUCCUCAACCGUAUCAGGAGUAGUUACCAUAGCAUGGGGUUGAGGAGCAGACACAACCAUGGAUGGAACCUGUUGCACUGGGUUACCAACAAAAGAAUUUGGCCAGCUAGAAGGAGGAGUCACCUGAUAUGUCCAGUUAGAGUAUGGAACCAUAGGAGGAGCAGCCAUACAGACAUUAGCUUGUGGAUGAGGCCUGUAGUUAGUGCUUUUGUAGGACGAAUCAAACCGGUAGUAGCAACGGUCCACAAGAUGUCCUAUUUUACCAUAUAAUUGACAUUGAAAUCGCAUGCUAGAAGAACGGCCACGCCCACGACCACGAGAGGUAGAUGGCCGAUAAACCGGUGUGGACCUCUCAGUAGGAGAGUCAACAGACUGCUGUGAAACUAGAUUGGCAGAGCUAGGAGCCUCAACCAUUAGAGCUUGUUGUCGAGACUCAGCAUCAAUAGCAUAGUCAUGACACUCUAAAGGCUGUACGCGUUGGACUGGCGACAAUGAUAGAAACAAUUGCCUCGUACUCAGAUGGUAGUCCAUUUAAGAUCGCUGUGAUAUGUUCGUGUUCGCUGAUGAUCUCCCCACAGCCAGCCAAAUUAUCACAAAAACACUUAAUCUUCAUUAAAAACUCUCGCAUAGAGAGAUCGCCCUUUCGUUGUGAGUGCAAAGCACGGCGAUAGAACAUUAGCCGUGAAGUAGACUUGCUUCCAUACAAUGACACAAUAGCAUUCCAGAUUUGUGCACUCGUGUCCAGACCAAUUAGAUCAGGUAGAACUGUUGUACUAGCUGAAGACAAAAGCCAAGAAGCAAGCGUGCUAUCUUGCUGUUCAAACCUCGCAAAGUCAGCAUUUUCUUGAGACACCCCAUUAUCAUCAAGCACCGUCGAAGGAGGUGGAAUAGUCUUUAAAUCAAUAAAACUUUGCAGUUUAUAAACUUUAACUGCCAAAAGAAUUUACUGAUGCCACAAAAGAUAGUUAGAGUCAUCAAGAAGAACACUAACCUUCUUGGUUGAGAAAAACCUAUUAUCAACAACACCAGUAAACAGAUGAGAUGCCAUCAUGGAAAUGGCAGACUGAGCAGCAGAUGGACUCGAUGGAAGAUCCAUGCAAACAACAGACACACAGAGAUUUUAUCCCAGGAAAAAACUAACCUCUGAUACCAUGUUGAAAUAUACUAAGCAAACAGUAACUGAUGAAUAUUAUCAACUUGUAUUACUGAGAAAGCUCAACACAUGUAUUUAUACAGCAUCGAUAGAUUGUAACUUCCUUAACUAACUAACUGCUCACUAACUACUGACUUGAUGACUAACCAACUUCCUUAUAUUACUAUAACAUUGAGCAAUGAUCUUGGGAAAAAUAAGUUUGAAAUGGUUGGCAAUUAACUUCAUAAUUAAUUUGUAUAAAACAAAACACAGGCUGAUAGGCGAAAUUGAGCAAAAUUCUCAAGGCUUGCUACCUUAGGAAUAAGCACAAUCAGUGUAUUGUUCAACUUUGGAUCUAUAAUUUCUUCGGCAAAUACCUUUUUGACCUAAGCACAGAUAUCAGCAUCGACUUCCUCCCACUGAUUCUAAAUGACCCGUGGCCCUUAAGAGAUCACUUUUUCGAAGUCGCUUUUGUCUUGAAACUUUACCAAAAAAUAUCCAUUCUCGAUAUCCCUGAUGAGAAGUUGAUGAACCCUUUUUGAAAAUUCAAUCGAAGGGAUGCCAUUAACCGUAGACUUCUUGAUAUCUCCAUAAAAAAAAUCAAAAUCAUUAUCCCCUUAGGAUCCAGUAGAUUCAGUCACCUUCUUCAGAUUUGAAUAACAUUUUCCUAAAAGCCUAUGUUUCCACCAUAGAGUCGGAUCAGAUGACAGGUCCAUAGCCUUAACUACAUCGGAUCACACCUGUUGGUCAUUAAAUCUCACAUACUUGGUGUGUCGAUCUUCUGUAGCACGUUCGUCAAUCCUAUCCCCUUCAUAGAGAGAGCUUGACAGCACAAAGAGACAGUUUUAAGCAUACAUAAGAUGCAAAGAGAAAGAAGGGAUUAAAGAACGAGAUGACUAGGUUGACUGGGAUUGGGAUCACUCUGCACAAGCUUUGCAGCUUUGUUGUUUUUUUCUUAAUUUUUCCCUCUCCGAUCCGAUCUUAGUUUGCCCACAAAAAAACCAAAUAAAAACUUACUGCUCUCCCAAGGUAUUUCAUAAUCAUUACUGUAGGGGAAAAAAAGUUAGUAAAAUCAAAAGCAAAAUUCAAUGAUUUGAUUAUGUCUUCUUUUUAAAUAUUUAAAUAGUAAUUGUAAAGACCUUAUUUUGCCCGGGCCCAUAUAAACCCUAGCCCGAACCUACCAACCCAAAAAAAUUUACUGACCCAAUUACAAUAACAGACCUACAACCCAAAAUUCAAAAGCCCAAAUGGCCCAAAGUGUUUGACAUUUUCAAAAUGCCAAAAACCCUAGGGUUUCUGGCGCCGUUCCCCUGCUGCUACCCAUGUGAGCCUUCAGCGCGCACCACGCCCGAGGCCUGCCACCACCAGCUGGCCUUGCACCGAAACGGCAAGUUGACCUUGCCAUGUACCUGCAAACAAGUAGCAAAAAGAGAGAAAUGGAAGCAGACUAGAAAAACAGUAGCAAAAGAGGGAAUUUUCCUGCAUUUUUCAUCUUUUCUUUCGGCUAUAAAGCCAAGUAUGUGGUGAAAUGUAAAAGGGGGGAUUUUGGUAAAAAAAACACAUUAGCAUAAAGAAAUAAAAGCAAAAAACAAAUUCAAGGUUUUUUUUAUAUUAGAUUCAUACUUUUUUUAUUUUUUUAUUUUUUUGUACAUUAAAUAGAUAAUAAAGGAAAGGGAAAAGAGAUUACCCGAAUUACCCCGUCGUUCCACCGUCUUGGGCUUCGCCGGAUUGGUGUUGAAAGGAGGGGCUAAGGGAUUUCUUCUUCUUUUUUAGGGUCGAAAAUCCAUACCUUCAGGUUCAUUUUGGAACACGGCCAAAGAGGGCCUUCUCACGCCGCAUCGGCCUUUGGCCGCGGUGGUCACACGGCAAAGCGCCGUUGAGACAAGCGCCGGAGUUCAGAGAACCAAAGAGGGAUGGGGAAGCUCCCUCUCUUUCUUUUUUUUAUUCUUGCGGCUAUAAA
rnacentral:lncRNA from 1 species